rnacentral:rRNA from 1 species
GUAAUCCCGCCGAACCCCAUUCGUGAUGGGGAUCGGGGAUUGCAAUUAUUCCCCAUGAACGAGGAAUUCCCAGUAAGUGCGGGUCAUAAGCUUGCGUUGAUUAAGUCCCUGCCCUUUGUACACACCGCCCGUCGCUACUACCGAUUGGAUGG